UACGAAGGGGGCUAGCGUUGCUCGGAAUCACUGGGCGUAAAGGGUGCGUAGGCGGGUCUUUUAAGUCAGGGGUGAAAUCCUGGAGCUCAACUCCAGAACUGCCUUUGAUACUGAAGAUCUUGAGUUCGGGAGAGGUGAGUGGAACUGCGAGUGUAGAGGUGAAAUUCGUAGAUAUUCGCAAGAACACCAGUGGCGAAGGCGGCUCACUGGCCCGAUACUGACGCUGAGGCGCGAAACGUGGGGACAAACAG
rnacentral:rRNA from 1 species